rnacentral:rRNA from 1 species
GGCGAACGCUGGCGGCGUGCUUAACACAUGCAAGUCGAACGGAAAGGCCCUGCUUUUGUGGGGUGCUCGAGUGGCGAACGGGUGAGUAACACGUGAGUAACCUGCCCUUGACUUUGGGAUAACUUCAGGAAACUGGGGCUAAUACCGGAUCGGAGCUCCUGCUGCAUGGUGGGGGUUGGAAAGUUUCGGCGGUUGGGGAUGGACUCGCGGCUUAUCAGCUUGUUGGUGGGGUAGUGGCUUACCAAGGCUUUGACGGGUAGCCGGCCUGAGAGGGUGACCGGCCACAUUGGGACGGAGGUACGGCCCAGACUCCUACGGGCGGCAGGAGUGGGGAAUAUUGCACAAUGGGCGGAAGCCUGAUGCAGCAACGCCGCGUGCGUGAUGACGGCCUUCGGGUUGUAAACCGCUUUCGCCUGUGACGAAGCGUGAGUGACGGUAAUGGGUAAAGAAGCACCGGCUAACUACGUG